CAAACGUAUUUUGCACAUUUUUUGCUCGUUAUAAAGCAAUCUCGUGUGCGGAUAGAUAUCGAGAGUGUCGGACAAAGUACCGGGCGAUUGUGACAUAGCUUUAAUCAAUGCUGGCGAUAAUAAAUAACCGCCGUUUGCCGCGUCAUAAUCCGUGGUCUCGUUCGUGUGCGUAUGUGUGCGUAUAUGUGCCCAGGAUAUUCUGUCGAUACCAUAACUAAUGCCUGUCGGACUAAUCGUCGACGAUAAUUGCAUCAUUUUCUCGUGUAAUCGACUAUUAAAAGUGUCAAUCGAGCUAUCAAAUGGACAAAUUAAUUCAGGAGAGGAGGAAUUUGUAACUUUUCGUGCGGAAUUUACGCCGGCGCGAUGACACAAACUGGCAUAACAGCAGUCGCAUCUUACGAAUAUUUCCAGAAACGACACAUGCCUGCGGUCGUCCUUGGAGUCCUCGUGACUCUUCGAAAUGAACAUCGAGAACAUCCGUGAAAGGAUCGAUCGUUUCGACACAGAUUAGGCUUGGAUACACGUUCACCUCCUUAGUGUCAAACUACCUAAUCUAAUGCAGCGGCGGUUUCCUUGGAGGAUUCAUGAAACUGAAGUUCACCUUGCUGCCGCGUCGCAGGGAUCCAGCCCGCUGUUUUAAUCUCAGCUACGGUUUCUUCGUUCAGUGCCCUAUUGGAAGCUGUAAAACGACAACUCGACGGAUCUCUCGUAUCGGCCACAAGCAGCGCGCGGUGAGUCCUCCGCAAUCUUUCUCUUAAUCUCUGGCAGGCCGUUUUGCCGCCAGCGCGUUGCCGUUGCAAACCAUAAAACGUUAGGCGCAACGGCGCAGCGGCGUUGCGUUUCAUGGUGCUACAUUUAGCAGACUGUAAAGUACGACUUUAUUCCGAAGUUUUUAUAGUUGCGGCCGAAGCGCCCGGCCAUAAAUAAUCUUUUAUUACGGCCACGGGCGUGUUACGCACGAGUGCUAUUUGUUCAAUUCGUCCCACCGUGCUUCAUGCUUUUGACUUUGCGACUUGCGAGCCGGCAAAGAUCGCGUGUUACGGACGGACGUGUAACGAGCGAAUCGGCAAUUAUAAAUCUUACGGUAAUGCACGGAACAGAUGUCUAC